rnacentral:rRNA from 1 species
UAUUGGGCAAUGGAGGAAACUCUGACCCAGCGACGCCGCGUGCGGGAUGAAGGCCUUCGGGUUGUAAACCGCUUUCAGUAGGGAAGAAGCGAAAGUGACGGUACCUACAAAAGAAGCACCGGCUAACUAUGUGCCAGCAGCCGCGGUAAUACAUAGGGUGCAAGCGUUGUCCGGAAUUAUUGGGCGUAAAGAGCUCGUAGGUCGUUUGUUACGUCGGAUGUGAAAACCUGAGGCUCAACCUCAGGCCUGCAUUCGAUACGGGCAAACUAGAGUUUGGUAGGGGAGACUGGAAUUCCUGGUGUAGCGGUGGAAUGCGCAGAUAUCAGGAGGAACACCAAGGCGAAGGCGGGUUCGGGCCAAUACUACACGAGAGGAAA